rnacentral:lncRNA from 1 species
AUGGCAGGGCGCCUGGGGAGGGCACUGGCACGUUCACGGGCACCUGGGCAACGGCCGCCGGGCUCCGCGGAGCUUCGGGGACCCGGGGACCCCAUGGAGGUACGGGAGGGAGAGAGGGAGAGGACAGCAGGCGCGCUGCUCCAGGGGGUGCGAAGGGCUCUCAGGCAGCACAGCGCUGGGCAGGACUCCCUGGGCCGCAGCGCGAAUCGGGGGCGCGGACGGGGGGCGGGGGUGUCGUCCCGGGGACCGGCGGAGGGAUUCCCCGGGGGCCAGGGUGCGGAGGGGGGUCCCCGGGUCCGGGCGCGGAGGGGGCGUUCCUGGGAUCAGGGUGCGGAGGGUGUUCCGGGGGUCAGGGUGCGGAGGGGGGUUCCGGGGUCCUGGCGCGGAGGGGGGGUCUGGGCGCGGAGGUGGGGCCCGGGCGCGGAGCGGGGUUCCGGAGGUCAGGGCGCGGAGGGGGGCCCCGGGGUCCUGGCGCGGAGGUGGGGCCCCGGGUCAGGGCGCGGAGAGGUGUUCCGGGGUCCGGGUGUGGAGGUGGGGCCCCGGGGGUCAGGGCGCGGAGGGGGGUUUCGGGGUCCGGGUGUGGAGGGGGGUUUCGGGGUCCUGGCGCGGAGGUGGGGCCCCGGGUCAGGGCGCGGAGGUGGGUUCCGGGGUCCGGGUGUGGAGGGGGGCCCCGGGGUACUGGCGCGUAGGUGGGGCCCCGGGUCAGGGAGCGGAGGGGGGCCCCGGGGGUCAGGGUGCGGAGGGGGGCCCCGGGGUAAUGGCGCGGAGGUGGGUCCCGGGGUCCGGGCGCGGAGGGGGGUUUCGGGGUCCGGGUGUGGAGGGGGGCCCCGGGGUCAGGGCGCGGAGAGGGGUUCCGGGGUCCGGGUGUGGAGCGGGGCCCAGGGGUCAGGACGCGGAGGGGGGCCCCAGAGGUCAGGGCGCGGAGGGGGGCCCCGGGGGUUAGGGUGCAGAGGGGGGUUUCAGGGUCCGGGUGUGGAGGGGGGCCCCCGGGUCCUGGCGCGGAGGUGGGGCCCCGGGUCAGGGCGCGGAGAGGGGUUCCGGGGUCCGGGUGUGGAGGGGGGCCCCGGGGUACUGGCGCGUAGGUGGGGCCCCGGGUCAGGGAGCGGAGGGGGGCCCCGGGGGUCAGGGUGCGGAGGGGGGCCCCGGGGUAAUGGCGCGGAGGUGGGUCCGGGGGUCCGGGCGCGGAGGGGGGUUUCGGGGUCCGGGUGUGGAGGGGGGCCCCGGGGUCAGGGCGCGGAGAGGGGUUCCGGGGUCCGGGUGUGGAGCGGGGCCCAGGGGUCAGGACGCGGAGGGGGGCCCCAGAGGUCAGGGCGCGGAGGGGGGCCCCGGGGGUUAGGGUGCAGAGGGGGGUUUCAGGGUCCGGGUGUGGAGGGGGGCCCCCGGGUCCUGGCGCGGAGGUGGGGCCCCGGGUCAGGGCGCGGAGAGGGGUUCCGGGGUCCGGGUGUGGAGGGGGGUUUCGGGGUCCUGGCGCGGAGGUGGGGCCCCGGGGUCCGGGCGCGGAGGGGGGUUCCGGGGUCGGGGCGCGGAGGGGGGCCCCGGGGUCCGGGCGCGGCGGGGAGGCGGGACCGCGGGGGGCGCGCGCACACGCACAGGCCCCCCAGCGUCGGGCGCUUCCGGGCGCACGGAGUCGCUCCCCGGGUCCCCGCAGAGUGCGCCUGCGCCCAUUUUCCCGACGCGAGCAGCGAGGACGCGCAGACCCGCGGGUUCGAAGGCGCGAGCGCUCCGCGCGUCCCCCACCGCGUCUGCGCCGGAGAGCCGGGGGCGGGGCCACGGGGCGGGGCUUGUGCGUCCGCGGGGCCGUUGGGCUCGGGCGGGACCUCGGCGCGGCGGCGGCGGCGGGCGGGGACGGCUCGGCGGCGGCGCGGCGGCUCCUCACCGGGAGGCGGUGGCUCCCGCCCCGGGGCCCCGCCCCCGCCCCGCCCCCCGGGCUGCGCGCGCAGCCCUCGCCGCCGCCGGCCCCGCCCAGCCGGGGAGCGCGCGGCCGCCCGGAGCCCCGGAGCGCGGAGCACCGCUGAGCGGGAGGCGGCGGCGGGAGCCGGGCCCGCAGGUGAGGCGCCCGCAGGAUGGCUCAACGCCGGUGGUUCAGCCUGCCUUUGGCCUUUGUGGUGGUGUAUCUUACUGUUAUUGGCUUAUCAUUAAGUAACGUGUCUAUUUGAGUUAAUUUGACGCGUCUCAUCUGAUGGACAAACUAAAACAGCAAACACUUCAGAGGUUGCCAGGGUUCACGAUAAAACAUCAGGUAUGUUUGCCAUCCUGAGCUGGGCUCAAGUCAGGAGAAAAUGCACAGGACUGUAUUCACCAUGGUGACCGAUCUCUGGGAAAGGUUUACCGUUGGCCUCGCCUGAUGAGGGGCCAUAGUAGUGAGCACUUCGCCGGGUUACUGAUGGGAUGAAGUGAGAUGAUGCACGUGAAGUACUUUCCCCUGAAUCUAGUAAGGGUAGAGAAAAUGUCACUAACGAAUGUUGCCAUUUGAACCAAACUGUGACGUUCACGUUUUUUAUGAGUGGUGGGUUUUCUUGUCUUCCUUUGGGGUAUAUGCCCAGGCAACGCUAGAGGCAUUAUAACUGUUAAAAAUGCAAACAAAUGAAUGCAUUAUAACUGCUAACAGGGCGCAUUUUUUUCUGUUGUAAUUUAUUUUGACCACAUUUAAAAAAAGAUUGGUUUAGUGUCAGGUGUUCAAAUCAAGGUUCUGUGUUUUCUGUAAAAUGAAGAAAAACCAUUCAUCGUAAAGACCCCUUGUUAGUAAUGGCUGGGAGGAAGUUUGACCAGAACUGUGGCUAAGUGAGUGGUUGUGCUUGCUGCCUUGGAAACCAGAGCCUUGAGCUGGGAGCCCCCUGAUGCUGAGGGCAGCCAGCUGCUGCCGCGGUGGUUUAUGGUGAUCAACGCUUUACAGCCGAUCAAGAACCUUUUUGGUCGUUGCCUCAACUGAAGUUUGUGCAACAGCGAGUGGUAUGGGAGGUGGAAUUCCCAGCUGACACGUUUGGAAACACAGGUUCACAGAGAGAUGGCCCCUGCUCCUGAAGUGGUGGCAUUUUCUUAAGUCCAGAUCUUGUGUUUUCUCUGUAGCGGCUCCAGGGCUGCCCCCAUAUUGGGGUUGCUGUGUUCUCAGGGCUAAGCCUCUUGUAGUUCUGGAAGCUUGCUGUCCAUUCACACCUUGUUUCCACGUCAGGCGAACUUAGUCAUGCUAAUCAAACUCACCAGAAGAACAUUUAUCACUCCCAGAUGAUUCAUUUGUGGUUAGAAGUAUGGCCGUCAGAUGUACUUGAAAACUUUUGUUACCCAGUGAUUUCUGCUUUUGCGUCCACCACCCCCACGUCUGCAUGCGGAGCCAGGUUGCUGUGAAAAAGGCAGUUUGUGGGAAUGACAUCAGAGUAAAAGGAGAGGACAGUAUUAAAUACCAGUGUUUGCGUCAAGAGCUUUGGUAGUUGCUGUAGUGUGCCCAUAGGUGGAGACGCACUGGGAAGCGCUUGCUUUAUGGCUUCCAGGCUUGCCUUGGUGUAGCCAGAGUACAAUGGCUAGGUUUUGGCCUCCUCUUAGGAUUUUCCAGUCCUUAGGAACCACACUGAUGCUGUAGAUUACGCUUAAUACUAAUACAGUUGACCCUUGAACAACACAGGUUUGAACUGUGUGGGUCCACUUACACGCAGUUUGUUUUCAGUAAAUACAUUGGAAAUUCCUUUUGAGAUUUGUGACAGUUUGAAAAAAAAACCAGACAAGCCGCAAAGCUUUGAACUAAAAAAAUUCAGAGACAUAUGUCAUGAAUGCAUAAAAUAGUUGUAGAUACUAGUCUAUUUUGUCAUUUACCACCAUAAAGGAUACACAAAUCUAUUAUAAGAGAAGUCAAAAUUCAUCAAAACUUACAGACUUAUGACUUCAUUCUUGGUCAAGAGAAUGUAAAUAGAGAUGCAGUAUUAAUUGUAACUGCAUCGAAUGCACUGCAGUGAUACUGUACUGUCCUUAUUAGGUGGCUGCUUCCUGUUGCUCUUGUGGCGAGUUCAAGAACUGCCCGUAUCUGCCUGAAAUGCCGUGUGCACUAAUCUCCUCGUGAACGGUUCAUCUCUCUGUAAACUUUGUGGCUCUUUCUAUUAUUAUAGUUUUGGGGAGUCAAAAGUUAGACGCAGCUUUUCAAGCAUGCAGGGUGCCUCUAACCUGUCCCUCCUCCCCAUUGUUCAAGGGUCAACUCCAUUUCCGAGUCUCUGUCUUUGCGAGCAGCACAUUUAUACAUGAUUUCUCAGCCUGGGUUACUUUGUAACAGCGGCAGGGCCUGACUGUGGCUAGUACCUAAUACCCAGGCCUUGCCCUGCUGCCAGUCAUGUAUUUCCACAUGUCCAGGGACCACCUCAUUCCAUGACUGUGGGUCGGCUACAGGUGAGGGGAGAAGCCAGCUUUAGGAAACCUUGACAGAUACUUGCAUCUUCUCUUCCCCUGCUGUGUGAGAGGAAUAUAUUUUGAGUGUACAUCCCUCUUCACUGAGAGCUCUCAUCUCUCUGCUCUUAUGCUGCGCCAAAUGCAUAUCAUUCAUUUAUAGAGAGAAGUGAAGAGGUUUUCCUAAGGAUACUUUUGAGGACCCCACAGAUUCUCAUUUGUGGUUUGUGCUUGUAAAGGGAAAGUGUAGUUUAUAAUAGAAAAUAAUUUGUUUCAAUAAGUUUUUUGUUAUGCUAAUUUCAUAAAGACUAUUCUUGACAUUUUAUCCCUCCCCCUCAAAACUAUGAUUGGAACACUCCUUGAUCCAUUCUUUUUUCCUUCUCUUGACCCUUUUGCCUUUUCCAUCCCUGCGCCCUUCCUAGCAUUGGAGAACAGUGAGGUAAUUCCAACAAAGGUCGGUUCUGCGGAUCGGCGUCCGAGCCUGCUCCAGCAGGUCUUCAGCUGGCCUCACUGCAAUCUCUCGUGAUCUGGCUGCUUGGCCGGCACCAAAUAGCUCCAGGUAGCCUUUGAUGUGUUGGGUGGACGGGUGCUGGAUAGUUGGAUGGUGUGCCUCAGCCUCCCAGGAGGCUAGACUGUACAUUGCAGGCCUGAGUUCCAAGAGGGCUGGCUCCAGAGUCAAAGCUCUUAUGAAAUGCUUGCUUGCCUGCCCUCCCAUCUCCCCUUGGCUGGAGAAGUAACACAAUGAGGUCCAGAGUUAGAAGUGUGGGGCCUCUACGUAGGCAUGGUCAGGAAGGAUGAUGGCAGGGGAAGGUCAUGAACCAUCUGGCACAGUGGGGUUAGGGAGUUGGGAGGGGACUUUGUCUUGCUAGUUGUAAAUAACAAGGGCCAUGUUCAUAGUUGAUUCUCUUGCAUUGGACCCAAUGUGGUGAACAUUUAUUUUGUGCUGGAUGCUGGCAGUCUCUGGCUACUCUGAAGCUAGUUCAUAAAAUACUCAUGAUCUCAGAUUUUAAGCAGAAGACAUCCUGUGAAGACUUAUUCCUGGCUUUAGAUGAAAAGGACAGGAACUGCUUCUAAAGAUCUGUGUUGGGCCAGAGUUUGCUUUUAGGAAAUGCUGAUAGGUCCUUGAAAAAAAAAAAAAAAUAGGUUGCUAUGAUGACUUGGCUUUGGGCCUACAAACUGUGGUGACGGCAUGGUCACCAAGGAAACCAAAAGAUGCAGCUUCUCAAAGGUCUCGGAAGGUUUUGUUGCUGCUGUCUGGAAUCCGAUUGGUUUAGAAGAGUGGUGUUGAGCAUGGGAGCAGACCAGCUGGGGCUUGCCAUCCUGCCGGAACUUCUAGGAUCUGGCACUAGUUGCUUUGGAAAUCUCCUACUUGGCCCUUGGUGUGAGAAGAAGGAGAUUUGGGGGUACUCUCCAGAUUCUGGUGAGAUUUGGCUCUGAUGAGUACUCUGCCGAAAGAACAGGAAGUGAGGUCGUAUCUCCAGCCUGCAGCGUUAGAAUGAGCCGUCGAUGUCUAAAUAUGGGCAGCUGUGCAGCUCAUCACAGUGCUUGUGUGGAGUCUUCAUAUAAUUGGGGACUUCCCUGUUGGCUACUUUGCUUCUUAAAGAUGCACAGCGGUGUGGAAGUCUAGAGGCACAUCUAUCUGCCUGUUGAAGCUGGAGCCUGGGAUUCGGUUGAGGCGCUGAGGGGCCAGCUCCUGACUUUGAUCAGGCUCAGACAGAGAAGGAGGUUUGAGCAUCUGGACCAGCAGCAGACUGCUUUGGAGGGCGAGCUGGGAUCUGUUGUGU